rnacentral:rRNA from 1 species
AUUGAACGCUGGCGGCAGGCUUAACACAUGCUAGUCGAGCGGGGUGAUGGUGCUUGCACUAUCACUUAGCGGCGGGCGGGUGAGUAAUGCUUAGGAAUCUGCCUAUUAGUGGGGGACAACAUCUCGAAAGGGAUGCUAAUACCGCAUACGCCCUACGGGAGAAAGCAGGGGAUCACUUGUGACCUUGCGCUAAUAGAUGAGCCUAAGUCGGAUUAGCUAGUUGGUGGGGUAAAGGCCUACCAAGGCGACGAUCUGUAGCGGGUCUGAGAGGAUGAUCCGCCACACUGGGACUGAGACACGGCCCAGACUCCUACGGGAGGCAGCAGUGGGGAAUAUUGGACAAUGGGGGGAACCCUGAUCCAGCCAUGCCGCGUGUGUGAAGAAGGCCUUAUGGUUGUAAAGCACUUUAAGCGAGGAGGAGGCUCUUUUGGUUAAUACCCAAGAUGAGUGGACGUUACUCGCAGAAUAAGCACCGGCUAACUCUGUGCCAGCCGCCGCCGUAA